CUACCACUGGUUUAUAGAGUUUAAAGGUUAGGGCAUGAGAAGCAAAGAUGGAGAAAAACGAAGGAAACAAGUUUAUUAAAUUUUGUAGCAAAAUUGAUAAACAACUAGCAAAGAUCGAAAGAGUUCAAGCAAAGCGAAAACAACAAGGAAAAACAAAGAAAAUCCUAAAGGCUACCUAGAAGACUACUCUUCAGCAGCUU
rnacentral:lncRNA from 1 species